rnacentral:rRNA from 1 species
UACGUAGGGCGCGAGCGUUGUCCGGAUUUAUUGGGCGUAAAGAGCUCGUAGGCGGUUCGUCGCGUCGGCUGUGAAAUCCCGAGGCUCAACCUCGGGUCUGCAGUCGAUACGGGCGAACUGGAGUUCGGCAGGGGAGACUGGAAUUCCUGGUGUAGCGGUGAAAUGCGCAGAUAUCAGGAGGAACACCGGUGGCGAAGGCGGGUCUCUGGGCCGAUACUGACGCUGAGGAGCGAAAGCGUGGGGAGCGAACAGG